GCACCGACUACGCCAAAACAAAUUCCUUGUAUGUCCAAAAACGUACUUGGCAAUAAAGCUUUUCUGAUUCUGAUUCUGAUGCCAAAGUAGAAAGAGAUCAGCAAUGAACUUAAAGAAGCAAUUGUUGCUUCCCAUUAAUGUGGGUAAUGUUAUUAAGCCAAACAAUUUGGUAAAUUCAUAAUUCUGUAGAGAGAAAGAUUAUUCAUAAGAUGGAAUAUUUAAGAAAUGUACCAGUGUCUUUAAGAGUGGACAUCCUAAAAAUCUCACUCCAGUCACAUUGUGUAAUGCUCAUAGAAAUAGUAAAGAUCCUAAUUCCAGACUCUAUGUGAUUUAUGUGGCACAGUAAGAGCUGACGUCUAUAACCGCACAGCUAGAACACUGAACAAGUAUGACUUGUUUGGAAGAAUUGGCAUGAUAAUGCGUCCUGUCAAAAAAGUGAUUAAUUAAAUGUGAUUAAUUUAUUAUAAACAAUGUAACCACAUGCCUUCUGGAACAAUGUGCUCUCAACAACUGACAAGCAUAGUGGUGGGGGCCUGUUGGUUUAGGCUCAUUUUAUAACAUGGGCAUUAUGCAAUGCAUCCAUUCCUCUGUACAUCAAAGUAUUUUACACUCAAAUGUGAGGCCAUCUUUCAAAAAGCUGAAGCUUGGCUCAAACAGGGUGAUCGACAGGACAAGGAUCCCAAACAGAGCACCAAAUCUGUAACAAAAUGGCUGAAAUGAGAAAUGAAUCAAGGUAUGCAAUGGCCUACUCAAAGGCCAGAAUAUAUCCUGAUUAAAUCACUGUGCCAUUUUAAGUAUCUGGAGAUCAGGUCAUCGAGUUGUCCACCAUCGACCCCUGCCGGAUCCUCUUAGCACCGGUCCCUCAUGGUUCCCUCUGCAGGUGGUGGGCCCACAGGGGAUGGCCUCGCUUCUCUCAUUUGGGCUUGGCUCAGCCAGGUCCCGCGAGGAGUAACCUGGUGACCAGGUGCCCACAAACGAGUCCUGAUCCCAGGCCUAGCUCCAGGAUGGGACCGUAGGCUCCGCAGUACCGGGCAACGAUGCAUGCCUUGUUGUAGUAGUCCUGAUUAAGGCUUCUGAACCGCUCUUUGCCUGAUCGGUCACCCAGAGCCUGUUUGCCAUGGGUUACACACAACAGAGCCUCUAGGAUAAUACGAGCACUAAAAUCCCCCACCACGUCAAGGUGUCAGUUCAAAGAGGGUCUGACUUCAAUGGGGGGACAUUAUCGGGUGGUGGAAGGAGUACUUUGAUGAUCUCCAUCAAUGCCUUUCCUGGUGGAAGCAGAGACUGGGGACUCAGAGUUGGACUCGUUCAUCACCCAGGCUGAAGUCACCGAGGUGGUCAAAAGCUCUGCGGUGGCAAGGCUUCAAGGGUGAAUGAGAUCCACCCUGAGUACCUGAAGUCUCUGGAUGUUGUAGGACUGUCGUGGCUGACAGGCCUCUUCAACAUUGCGUGGCAGUCUGGGACAGUGCCUCUGGACUGGCAGACCAAGGUGGUGGUCCACUUGCACAAGAAGGAGAAUCGAUGGGUGUCUUCCAACUACAGGGGGAUCACACUCCUCAACCUCCCUGGUAAGACCUAUGCCAGGGUGUUGGAGAGGAGAUGCUGGCCUACAGAUGAACCUCGCCGUCGGGAGGAGCAGUAUGGUUUUCGUCCUGGCCAUGGAACACUGGACCAGAUCUACACCAUCUGCAGGGGGAUUGAGGGUACAUGGGAGUUAUGCUCUCCAGCUUUAAACUCUCCAACUUUAAACUUUUUACAUAAACUUAUAUUUUAACUGCAUUUACCUGCAACUCUAAAUAAUUUUCUUUUCCAGAUCUUUAGCAGGUAAAUAUGUCCUCACCUCGGAAUUAAGUCUUAGUUGAAAAAUAACUUGAUCUCACAAUAUGUUUAUCCAACUUAAAAGCUAUCAAGUAUAACACCCAUGUUCCCAACAACAAAACCAGGAUCACCAAGAUCUGCCAAGGUCAGCAGAACUGGGUUUGGGUGUUUCAAACCAAAUGGCUAAGAAAGUUUAACUUUAGUCAAGAUAUAGGGAAUAUAUCCACAUUAACAUUGGUAUUGGCCGAUGUUAGUCAUUUUUUAACAUAAUGUCUCAGUCGCAGAAGUAAAACUGGACUGACAUUAAUAACGUCCAUCUUAUUGGAUUAACGAUUUUUUCCUAACUUUUCAUAUCUGUGCAUUUCUUCAAUUAAAUGAAGAAAAAACUGAAAUUCUUAUCUUUGCACCAGAUAAAUUAUUGUUCAAGUCUCUUGUUAGAUCCUGCUUGUAUAAUUUGAGAAAUAUUGCCAUUGUCUUGUUUUUCUAAACUGGAAAUGAUAAUUCAUGCAUUUGUUUCAUCAUGUUUUAUUGAAAUUGCUGGAUUAUUGACUGGAUUAUUGAUAGACAUGUCUCCACAUGUCUAUCCAAAACCUGACUCAGCUGUUAAGGCAACUAAACUACUCCUGAUGUAUUUUAGAGUGCACUUUAAGAUUCUUAUUCUGCCACCGGGUUAUAUCAGAGGACUAUUGCAUCCAUAUGUCCCACGUUUGCCCCUGAGGUCAUGUAAUGAAGGCCUGCUGAUAGUCUUACAUACUAAAAUGAAGACAAAAGGAGAAAAAGCCUUUUCUUCACUGGCUCCAAGACUGAAACUUGAGCACUGAGAUUAGUGGACUCUGUGGCUUCCUUUAGAAGCCCAUAAAAACAUUUCCUUAGAAAUCUGUUUUUGUUUAAAAUGUCUUGUUUUAAUGUUGAUUGUAAAGCAUUAUUAAUAUUUUGAACGGUGCUAUAAAAAUACGUUUUUGUCAUGAUCCUCCUGUAUUAGGUAUUUGUGUUUUGAGUUGCUUGUCUGUUACUCUGUACUUCCCUGUUUAGUCGCUGUUAUUAGAUUAAGUUUAUGGGUCAUUCUUGUGUUUAGAUAUUUAAGUUACCUCCCUGUACUUCUCCAUCCCCCUGUUCAUCUGUGUUAAUUAGCCUCAGUUGAUUUGCAUUUUACUGCCAUCAGCUGCACCACAUUCCAACAGAUUGGCUCUGCUAGAUCACAGUUUUUUUCCUCCGCUCUGCAUCCAUAUUUAUACUCUCUGGUUUUUGUUGGUCUCCAAGCGAUCAUGCUGUUUGUCAUCCCAAGCCUGUUUACUACCUUGCUCCAUGUCCCGCCUCUGCCUAGUGCAGCUGAGCACGCUGCUCCAUGUCCCAGAGUGCAGCUGAGCACGCUGCUCCAUGUCCCAGAGUGCAGCUGAGCACGCUGCUCCAUGUCCCAGAGUGCAGCUGAACCAGCUCCUAGACGAACCGCCUCCUGUUCCUGGUCCAAGACUUCAAAACAAGGGGGUCCAGGUGGAACCGCCUCCAUCUACAGCUCCAGAGCCUCGCCGACAGUUCCAUGCCAUUCUCCAGGACUCCUUCGUGGUUCCAAGCUUCCAGUGCUCCUCUGUAGGAUUAAGUCUUUCAAGCUCAUCCGUGGGUUCAAGUCUCCACCCCAACCUCUCAGUCCUGACGGGUUCUUCAUUGGUUCUCCUGGUCCACUACGUGCCUUGGCCAUCCUCCAACAAAAUUUCUCUGAGGCACCUUUUUUACCAUGUCUGGAGAAAAACAGGCACCUUACUAACACCAUCCCUACUGUAAAACAUGGUGGUGGUGUUGCCCCUCUCUGGCCGGAGAAGGGGUUGGAAUAGUUAUCCUGAAUCUGAAUAACGGAAAGAAGGAGGCAGAUGUAUAAAACGGCUGCAUCGCUUGGCUGCAGGGUUUAUUCUGCCGUUUUGCCCCUUGCUGGUCCUAACCCUUUUAGUGAUGCGCCCUCUCCUGGCACUCCAAGGUACUACAACUAUAGAAAACUGUAUGAAAUGGCCAGGGUUAUCUGUUUAUAUGAGCAUUAUGCUGUAGGGAUGUUCUUCUGCAGCAGGAAUUGGACAACUGGUCCACACAGAGGAUAAAUUGACAGCAGCUAAAUACAGAGAGAUUCAUUAAGAAAAUCUGAAAAUCUCAAACUAAAGUAAAAGUUAAUCUUCCAAUAUGAAGAUGGUGAAGAAGUGGCUUCAGGAGCAGUCUGUGAAUCUUGAAUAUCUUACAUUAUCUUGCAUAUCUUUAUGGGGAAAAAAAUGUCCUCACUGAGAGCAAGUGGAAAUUCCUUUUUUGUGUACACAAACUUGGCAAACAAAGCUGAUUCUGUUUCUGAAUAUCUGUCAAAGAUCUAGAAUUGGUCAUCUACCAAGGUUCUCAUCCAUGCUGACUGAGCUUGAGAGCAUCUGCAGAGGCUAAUGGUAGAAAAUAUCCCUCAAAAAAGGUUUUAAAUAGUUGCUUUCAUUAUUCCUUUUUAAUAGAUUUACAAAACAUGUUAUUUUUUCACUUUAGCAUCAGCAGGUAUUAGGCAUCAGUUUUGGAAUAAGGCUGUAAAAUAACAAAAUAUGGAAAAAGUGAAGCAGUGAAUGUUCUUUGAAUGCACUGUCUGAAGUUGUGAAAUAAAUUUGUCCUGCAUACCGUA